GCUGGGCGUGGUGGUGCGUGCCUUUAAUCCCAGCUACUUGGGAGGCUGAGGCAGGAGAAUUGCUUGAACCCAGGAGGCAGAGGUUGCAGUGAGCCAAGUUUGCGCCACUGCACUCCAGCCUGGGUGACAGAGCAAGACUCUGUCUCAA
rfam:Gorilla gorilla gorilla genomic chromosome, chr11, whole genome shotgun sequence